AUUCUACUCCCUCCGUUGCACAAUACAUGCCUUCUAUUUGUCAAAAUAUAUAUAUGUAUCUAGACAUGUCUUAGUAUAUAGGUACAUCCAUUUUUGGACAAAUGGAAGUCAAGUAUUUUGGAACGGAGGGAGUACACA
rnacentral:pre_miRNA from 1 species